CACAGCAACAAGGGAAAGAAAAGCAGGCCGCGGAGCGAGUGCAACCGGAAAACCCGUGUGAUACAGAGAACACUUCAAGUAAUGACGUUGAAAUGAAUAGUCAAGUCGAAACCAUAGAGGAACCAACAGAAUCCCAGGCUGAGAAUUAAUUGUGGAAGACCAAGAUGAGAGAAGAGAACCGAGUGGUGAACCAGGAGCUGCAGUCACUGGUGCAUUAUACGACG